GGGGCUGUAGCUCAGUGGUAGAGUGCUUGCCUAGCACAUGUAGGGGGCACUGGAUUCCAUCCUCAGCAGCACCA
rnacentral:tRNA from 1 species